rnacentral:tRNA from 1 species
AGUAGCUCAAAUGGUUAGAGCGAUCGCCUCAUACGCGAUAGGUUGAGAGUUCGAGUCUCUCCUUAGCUACCA